GUUUCUAUAGCUUAUAUAGGUCAAGAGCAUAUCAGUGAAGUUGAUAAGGAAAUUAAAUUUAGGAAUA
rnacentral:tRNA from 1 species